CUAUACACACAAAACAGAAUAUUUAGUGGGUGGCACGGGUGAUACUUAUCUGCUAUUAGUAGGAUGUAGAGCUAAUUGGAAUCACUUGCUUGUAAACAAAGUUUACAAUGAGAGUAACUUAGAAACUUUUAAGCUCUUUUGGAAUCAAUGACUUCUGGUGGGGUGUAAUCUAAAACAGUGAUUCCUGCAGUAGCAAAAUAAUUUAUCAAAAUACUGGCUGUAUGGGUCUCUGAGUUUACAUGAAGACAUCACAAUUUUCAGCUCUUUUACUUUGGUAGCCAGUGCCAUGAGCAACCUCAGCACACACUGUUCUUCCUCUAGCAGCUUGCCCAAAUCAACUGUUUGGGAGGCAAUGUUAAUGCCACUUUAUUCUCCAAGUACAGAAGUGCCAAAUUUUCUAAUCAGCAAUUGCACAUAAAAAUUUAUGCUUUCCAGGCUUAAAUAAAAGCAACACAAUAUUCACCAACAAAGAAAAUAACAUUUUCUUAGGUUCAUUGAGUUGGCAUAUUCCAAACACAUUUUUUAAACUUUUUGUUAUGAACUGAGAAUAAACUCAUGGGAGGUUGUAAAAAUAGAAAAGUCCCAUGCAACCUUCACUCAGCUUCCUCUGAUGAUGACAUCUUAUAUCACUGUAGUACAAAAUCAAAACUGGGAAAUAAAGGUUAACAUAUUAGUGGUUAAAAAUCUGCAUUCAUUGUGUGCGUGUGUGCGUGUGUCUCUGUGCACCCUUCUCCAUGCAAAAUUUGUGUAAUCACCACUAUAGUCAAAAUACAGAUUUCUUUAGCACCACAAAAGAACUCCCUUCUACUACCUCUUUGUGUCCCCCUUCCCCACUACACCUGUUCCUGUGUCCUGGCAGCCACUGAUCUGUUCUCCGUCUCUGUAGUUUUGUCUUUUUGAGGGUAUUAUAUGAAUAGAAUCAUACAGUAUGUAAUAUUUUGAAAUUAACUUUUUUCAGUAACCAAAAUGC
rnacentral:lncRNA from 10 species